UUGAACGCUGGCGGCAGGCCUAACACAUGCAAGUCGAGCGGUAGCACAGAGAGCUUGCUCUCGGGUGACGAGCGGCGGACGGGUGAGUAAUGUCUGGGAAACUGCCUGAUGGAGGGGGAUAACUACUGGAAACGGUAGCUAAUACCGCAUAAUGUCGCAAGACCAAAGUGGGGGACCUUCGGGCCUCAUGCCAUCAGAUGUGCCCAGAUGGGAUUAGCUAGUAGGUGGGGUAACGGCUCACCUAGGCGACGAUCCCUAGCUGGUCUGAGAGGAUGACCAGCCACACUGGAACUGAGACACGGUCCAGACUCCUACGGGAGGCAGCAGUGGGGAAUAUUGCACAAUGGGCGCAAGCCUGAUGCAGCCAUGCCGCGUGUGUGAAGAAGGCCUUCGGGUUGUAAAGCACUUUCAGCGGGGAGGAAGGCGUUAAGGUUAAUAACCUUGGCGAUUGACGUUACCCGCAGAAGAAGCACCGGCUAACUCCGUGCCAGCAGCCGCGGUAAUACGGAGGGUGCAAGCGUUAAUCGGAAUUACUGGGCGUAAAGCGCACGCAGGCGGUCUGUCAAGUCGGAUGUGAAAUCCCCGGGCUCAACCUGGGAACUGCAUUCGAAACUGGCAGGCUAGAGUCUUGUAGAGGGGGGUAGAAUUCCAGGUGUAGCGGUGAAAUGCGUAGAGAUCUGGAGGAAUACCGGUGGCGAAGGCGGCCCCCUGGACAAAGACUGACGCUCAGGUGCGAAAGCGUGGGGAGCAAACAGGAUUAGAUACCCUGGUAGUCCACGCCGUAAACGAUGUCGAUUUGGAGGUUGUGCCCUUGAGGCGUGGCUUCCGGAGCUAACGCGUUAAAUCGACCGCCUGGGGAGUACGGCCGCAAGGUUAAAACUCAAAUGAAUUGACGGGGGCCCGCACAAGCGGUGGAGCAUGUGGUUUAAUUCGAUGCAACGCGAAGAACCUUACCUGGUCUUGACAUCCACAGAACUUUCCAGAGAUGGAUUGGUGCCUUCGGGAACUGUGAGACAGGUGCUGCAUGGCUGUCGUCAGCUCGUGUUGUGAAAUGUUGGGUUAAGUCCCGCAACGAGCGCAACCCCUAUCCUCAGUAGCCAGCAUUUAAGGUGGGCACUCUGGGGAGACUGCCAGGGAUAACCUGGAGGAAGGCGGGGAUGACGUCAAAUCAUCAUGCCCCUUAUGACCUGGGCUACACACGUGCUACAAUGGCAUAUACAAAGAGAAGCGACCUCGCGAGAGCAAGCGGACCUCAUAAAGUAUGUCGUAGUCCGGAUUGGAGUCUGCAACUCGACUCCAUGAAGUCGGAAUCGCUAGUAAUCGUAGAUCAGAAUGCUACGGUGAAUACGUUCCCGGGCCUUGUACACACCGCCCGUCACACCAUGGGAGUGGGUUGCAAAAGAAGUAGGUAGCUUAACCUUCGGGAGGGCGCUUACCACUUUGUGAUUCAUGACUGGGGUG
rnacentral:rRNA from 1 species